GUAGGUGGCAAGCGUUGUCCGGAAUUAUUGGGCGUAAAGCGCGCGCAGGCGGGUUCUUUAAGUCUGAUGUGAAAGCCCACGGGCUCAACCGUGGAGGGUCAUUGGAAACUGGAGAACUUGAGUACAGAAGAGGAAAGCGGAAUUCCACGUGUAGCGGUGAAAUGCGUAGAGAUGUGGAGGAACACCAGUGGCGAAGGCGGCUUUCUGGUCUGUAACUGACGCUGAGGCGCGAAAGCGUGGGGAGCAAACAGGAUUAGAUACCCUGGUAGUCCACGCCGUAAACGACGAGUGCUAAGUGUUAGGGGGUUUCCGCCCCUUAGUGCUGCAGCUAACGCAUUAAGCACUCCGCCUGGGGAGUACGGCCGCAAGGCUG
rnacentral:rRNA from 1 species